rnacentral:rRNA from 1 species
AUUGAACGCUGGCGGCAGGCUUAACACAUGCAAGUCGAGCGAGCGGCGGACGGGUGAGUAAUGUCUGGGAAACUGCCUGAUGGAGGGGGAAAACUAAUGGAAAAGGUAGCUAAUACCGCAUACCAUCAGAUGUGCCCAGAUGGGAGUAGCUAGUAGGUGGGGUAAUGGCUCACCUAGGCGACGAUCCCUAGCUGGUCUGAGAGGAUGACCAGCCACAUGGGAACUUAGACACGGUCCAGACUCCUACGUGAGGCAGCAGUGGGGAAUAUUGCAGAAUGGGCGCAAGCCUGAUGCAGCCAUGCCUCGUGUGUGAAGAAGGCCUUCGGGUUGUAAAGCACUUUCAGCGAGGAGGCGUUACUCGCAGAAGAAGCACCGGCUAACUCCGUGCCAGCAGCCGCGGUAAUUC